AGGGACCCCUAGUGGUGGGAGGAAGAAUUAAGAUCCCGCACAGUGUGGGUGAAGAUAGGGAUUGUUGACCUGAGGGCAGAAAGAUGGUGCUUCAAAGAAAAUGUUCCAAUAUCCUCUGUCCUGCUUUGAAGAUGUCGAGGAAUAAUAUUGACUGAGUCUCCGGUGAAAUGUUUUUGUGGUUUCUCUUUCCGGACGUCCUGGGGAAAGCAAGUACAAGGACAAGAGAGAAGUAACUCUGGCAUUGUCAACACAUUUGGAUAUCUGUGUCUCAUCAUCCAGAGUGGGAAAAAGCAGGAAGGGAAACCAAGAGACAGAGAUAAAGUGACAGAGGUCAAGGUCAGGGUUAUUUUGUAUCUUCAGAAGCAGAGUGAUGAGCUGCUCCUCUUAAAAACUAGAGGAAGUCUUUGCUAGGGUCAAUGUGAAGAAAAGGGCACAUGAAUCUAGGCUGUACAGUGAUGAUUAUGGACAAUGAGUAAUACAAGUAAUUCAAUUUGGUUAGUUUAGAUGUCUUUUUUAAAGGGUUGAUUAAUCACUUCAUCAUUUCAAAAGGUGCAGUUUUCUC